rnacentral:rRNA from 1 species
AGUGAACGCUGGCGGUAGGCCUAACACAUGCAAGUCGAACGAGUGGCGGACGGGUGAGUAAUGCCUAGGAAUCUGCCUGGUAGUGGGGGAUAACGUCCGGAAACGGGCGCUAAUACCGCAUAAUAUCAGAUGAGCCUAGGUCGGCUUAGCUAGUUGGUGGGGUAAAGGCCUACCAAGGAGACGAUCCGUAACUGGUCUGAGAGGAUGAUCAGUCACACUGGAACUGAGACACGGUCCAGACUCCUACGGGAGGCAGCAGUGGGGAAUAUUGGACAAUGGGCGCAAGCCUGAUCCAGCCAUACCGCGUGGGUGAAGAAGGCCUUCGGGUUGUAAAGCCCUUUUGUUGGGAAAGCGGUACCCAAAGAAUAAGCACCGGCUAACUUCGUGCCAGCCGCCGCGGUAAUUC